UACGAGGGGGGCAAGCGUUGUUCGGAAUUAUUGGGCGUAAAGAGCGUGUAGGCGGCUGGGUAGGUCCGUUGUGAAAACUCGAGGCUCAACCUCGAGACGCCGAUGGAAACCCCCCGGCUAGAGUCCGGAAGAGGAGAGUGGAAUUCCUGGUGUAGCGGUGAAAUGCGCAGAUAUCAGGAAGAACACCCGUGGCUAAGGCGGCUCUCUAGUACGGUACUGACGCUGAGACGCGAAAGCGUGGGGAGCGAACAGG
rnacentral:rRNA from 1 species